GACGAACGCUGGCGGCGUGCUUAACACAUGCAAGUCGAACGAUGAUCCGGUGCUUGCACCGGGGAUUAGUGGCGAACGGGUGAGUAACACGUGAGUAACCUGCCCUUGACUCUGGGAUAAGCCUGGGAAACCGGGUCUAAUACCGGAUAUGACCUGUCACCGCAUGGUGGUGGGUGGAAAGAUUUAUUGGUCUUGGAUGGACUCGCGGCCUACCAGCUUGUUGGUGGGGUAAUGGCCUACCAAGGCGACGACGGGUAGCCGGCCUGAGAGGGUGACCGGCCACACUGGGACUGAGACACGGCCCAGACUCCUACGGGAGGCAGCAGUGGGGAAUAUUGCACAAUGGGCGCAAGCCUGAUGCAGCGACGCCGCGUGAGGGAUGAAGGUCUUCGGGUGUAAACUCCUGUCAUUUGGGAACAAGCGGCUCACGUUAACUGCGUGAGUCUUGAUAGUACCAGAAGAGGAAGGGACGGCUAACUCUGUGCCAGCAGCCGCGGUAA
rnacentral:rRNA from 1 species